rnacentral:misc_RNA from 1 species
ACCCUUGUGGAGGAGGACGCCGAAGGUGGGGCUAAUGACUGGGGUGAAGUCGUAACAAGGUAGCCGUACCGGAAGGUGCGGCUGGAUCACCUCCUAACAGGGAGACAACAAAAUGUUUAAUAUUAUUAUUUUGUCACCUUAGGUCGAUCGGUAUCUCACUUUCUUAACUUAUUAAGAAUUUCAUUUCCUAAGUUUUUCUAGGUCACACCCAUUAUUUUUCCUGGGCCAUUAGCUCAGGUGGUUAGAGCGCACCCCUGAUAAGGGUGAGGUCCCUGGUUCAAGUCCAGGAUGGCCCAUAUCUCUAUGUUGGGGGUAUAGCUCAGUUGGUAGAGCGCCUGCUUUGCAAGCAGGAUGUCAGCGGUUCGAGUCCGCUUACCUCCACUGAUUACCACCUCUUCCAUAAUCUGUAGAAGGAAAAAUUAUUGAGUUGUGAUCAAAUUCUGAACGAAUCUAGCUUCCUAAUGAAAUCAUUAAGAUGCUGGACUCAUUGAAUUAAUUUCAUUGUUUUCAGAGAACCUUGACAACUGCAUAGAUUAUUUUUAAAGACAAUAAGCAUCUUUAAUGAUGCAGAUUUAUUAUUUGUGCGAAUGCAUUAAUAACAAUUCUAUUAAGCUGAUGCUUCAAUUUUGAAGUUAUUGGUCAAGCUACAAAGGGCUCACGGAGGAUACCUAGGCACACAGAG